AAGUCGUAACAAGGUUUCCGUAGGUGAACCUGCGGAACCUGCUCUCCUUGAAGGCAAUCCCUGGUAAAUCACGCGAACAGUUUGAUUCAGGGACUUCCGGAGCUGCUUGCAGAUAACCAAGUCUGGGUCGAGAGGCCCCCUCUAUAUUAACCCCAAUUUACGUAAAGGGGAUGCGGAAACGCUCCUCAAAAAAAAAUCGAACAACUGUUAACAAUGGGUAUCUUGGUUCUC
rnacentral:misc_RNA from 1 species